CGACCCCUGGACCAGUCCAGGCCGGCCUGUUGCGGCUUGCUGGGCUGAACUGUGCCCCACCAAAACCACGGCCACAGGGGCCUGAGAAUGUGGAGCAGGGACCCAGCGAGGAGAUGAGGCCAAGCUCAGGAGGAAAGGGGUGCAGCUCGAAACCUCUGCUCGCAAAGUCUCCGUGACUGCUCUGCGCAAUGGGAAGACACUGGCCCUGUGACUCACCUGUGACCCCCCCCGCAAUGCAGAGUGGAGAAGAUGCACACAGC
rnacentral:lncRNA from 1 species